UACGUAGGGGGCAAGCGUUGUCCGGAUUUAUUGGGCGUAAAGAGCGUGUAGGCGGCCAUGUAGGUCCGUUGUGAAAACUCGAGGCUCAACCUCGAGACGCCGAUGGAAACCAUGUGGCUAGAGUCCGGAAGAGGAGAGUGGAAUUCCUGGUGUAGCGGUGAAAUGCGCAGAUAUCAGGAGGAACACCGAUGGCGAAGGCAGGUCUCUGGGCCACUACUGACGCUGAGAAGCGAAAGCAUGGGGAGCGAACAGG
rnacentral:rRNA from 1 species